rnacentral:lncRNA from 12 species
CUCUUGCCUUAUUUCUGUUCCUAAACAGCUGUUUCCUGGCUGUGGCUGGACGCAGGGUCCUGGGCUGGAAGGACCUUGGAUUUAGCUCAGUCUGGUUGCUGGUAUUGCUCUGGCUGGAGCUGUGCCUAAUCCUGUCCCUACAGGAAAAGUGCACUGAGAAAUCUGCAUCACAUUUUGAAGAGGAGAAAGCUGAGGCCCAGAGGAGCCAGCAACUUGUCCAAGGUCACGGAGGAAGAUG